CCUGCCCCUAGAGGUGUUGCAGGUAUGGCUGCUGUGUCACAUGGGCAUGAGGAGGUGGCAGAGAGGAGAUGACUAUGUUUACACUAAUGUUCUGACCUAUGAACAUCUGAAUAAUUAGUAGCCUAACAUU
ensembl:snoRNA